rnacentral:rRNA from 1 species
GACGAACGCUGUCUUCGUGCUUAACACAUGCAAGUCGAACGGAAAGGCCCUGCUUUUGUGGGGUGCUCGAGUGGCGAACGGGUGAGUAACACGUGAGUAACCUGCCCUUGACUUUGGGAUAACUUCAGGAAACUGGGGCUAAUACCGGAUAGGAGCUCCUGCUGCAUGGUGGGGGUUGGAAAGUUUCGGCGGUUGGGGAUGGACUCGCGGCUUAUCAGCUUGUUGGUGGGGUAGUGGCUUACCAAGGCUUUGACGGGUAGCCGGCCUGAGAGGGUGACCGGCCACAUUGGGACUGAGAUACGGCCCAGACUCCUACGGGAGGCAGCAGUGGGGAAUAUUGCACAAUGGGCGGAAGCCUGAUGCAGCAACGCCGCGUGCGGGAUGACGGCCUUCGGGUUGUAAACCGCUUUCGCCUGUGACGAAGCGUGAGUGACGGUAAUGGGUAAAGAAGCACCGGCUAACUACGUG